rnacentral:misc_RNA from 1 species
AUUGGCUUUCAAAAAACUCCAGGUCCCGACAGUUUCAAAAGACAAACUCUAACAAGUAAAAUUGGCAUCAAUCAGUAAGCAAAUCAUGGGAAUGGAGUAAGCAAAAAUGCAAGGCUUGCUUGAACUUGCUGCUGGGUUGAGGUGAGGCAACUCCCUCUGGAAACAUUAUUUCCUUCCUGGUGUUGAGGCCUUUUACAUGUUCAUUGUAGGUUGACAAAAGGAUCCAGUGCCAAAACAGAGCUAAUUUGUGAGUGAGAAUGAGAACCCAGGUUGGUACGGCUGUUAUCAAUGUCCACAUCCAAGUCUUUGCCACUUCGUGCUAUCUUUAAGGG